AGAGUUUGAUCCUGGCUCAGAAUGAACGCUGGCGGCGUGCCUAACACAUGCAAGUCGUACGAGAAAUCCCGAGCUUGCUUGGGAGAGUAAAGUGGCGCACGGGUGAGUAACGCGUGGGUAACCCACCUUCGAAUCUGGGAUAACUCCGCGAAAGCGGUGCUAAUACCGGAUAAGACCACAGCCGUUUCGGCGGCAGAGGUAAAAGCUGACCUCUCCAUGGAAGUUAGCGUUCGAGGACGGGCCCGCGUCCUAUCAGCUUGUUGGUGGGGUAAAGGCCUACCAAGGCAGCGACGGGUAGCUGGUCUGAGAGGAUGAUCAGCCACACUGGAGCUGGAACACGGUCCAGACUCCUACGGGAGGCAGCAGUGAGGAAUUUUGCGCAAUGGGGGAAACCCUGACGCAGCAACGCCGCGUGGGUGAAGAAGGCUUUCGGGUCGUAAAGCCCUGUCAGGUGGGAAGAACCGUUUCGAUACUAAUAAUGUCGAAGCCUGGCGGUACCACCAGAGGAAGCACCGGCCAACUCCGUGCCAGCAGCCGCGGUUCUGAUGCC
rnacentral:rRNA from 1 species